GGCAGGGUCUCGUGCAAGGGAGUCCGCGAACCCCGCCAGGUCCGAAAGGAAGCAACGGUAGCGACAACUACUCUGUGUCGCGUUGCUCUGUCGCC
rnacentral:SRP_RNA from 1 species